rnacentral:siRNA from 1 species
CGUGAUAUCCAGGCAACUUACCA